AUACGGAGGGUGCAAGCGUUGCUCGGAAUCACUGGGCGUAAAGCGAACGCAGGCGGCCCGGCAAGUCGGGUGUGAAAGCCCGGGGCUCAACCCCGGAAUUGCACUCGAAACUGCCGGCCUUGAGUACGGGAGAGGGAAGCGGAAUUCCUAGUGUAGAGGUGAAAUUCGUAGAUAUUAGGAGGAACACCCGUGGCGAAAGCGGCUUCCUGGCCCGAUACUGACGCUCGUGUUCGAAAGCGUGGGGAGCAAACAGGAUUAGAUACCCCGGUAGUCC
rnacentral:rRNA from 1 species